rnacentral:lncRNA from 1 species
CGGCUAACUAUUUGGGAUCUUACCUAAUGCGUCGGGCCUACGACUUACACGUUCCAAGGUGUUUUGGCGAAACAUACAUUCCAAGCACAACAAGCAAUUCAAGUAAGAGAGAAAAGUUAGAAAAAUAUAUUUUCGAUUUCAUUCAAGUUUGAACGAAGUUUACAAGAAUGGGCCGAAGCCCGACUGCAAGUACAUCAAACAAAAGUAAAAACAAAACAUACUUCGACU